rnacentral:tRNA from 1 species
CGUCUAGGGGUUAGGACGCCAGGUUUUCAUCCUGGUAACACGGGUUCGAUUCCCGUA